GAUGAACGCUGGCGGCGUGCCUAAUACAUGCAAGUCGAGCGAACGGACGAGAAGCUUGCUUCUCUGAUGUUAGCGGCGGACGGGUGAUUAACACGUGGAUAACCUACCUAUAAGACUGGGAUAACUUCGGGAAACCGGAUCUAAUACCGGAUAAUAUUUUGAACCGCAUGGUUCAAAAGUGAAAGACGGUCUUGCUGUCACUUAUAGAUGUAUCCGCGCUGCAUUAGCUAGUUGGUAAGGUAACGGCUUACCAAGGCUACGAUGCAUAGCCGACCUGAGAGGGUGAUCGGACACACGGGAAGUGAGACACGGUCCAGACUCCUACGGGAGGCAGCAGUAGGGAAUCUUCCGCAAUGGGCGAAAGACUGACGUAUCAAAGCCGCGUGAGUGAUGAAGGUCUUCUGGUCGUAAAGCGCUGUUAGUAGGGAAGAACAUAAGUGUAAGUACCUGUGAAGAUCUUGACGGUACCUAAUCAGAAAGCCACGGCUAACUACGUG
rnacentral:rRNA from 1 species